rnacentral:rRNA from 1 species
UGCCCCAAAACAAACCUCUGUGUCUAAACCUGGUCCAGUCUGGUCCCUGAAGCUCAGCAGGGCUGGGCCUGAUUAAUACUUGGAUGGGAGACCACUGGAAAUACUAGGUGCCACAGUGGGGCGC